UUGUCUCAUUCUCAAUUUCAGUUGCCCCUGUUCUAACAUGUGUGUGACAUGGGCAUCUUCCAAUGAUGAUCUUCCGAACUGCUCACCCAACUACAAAUUCCGCUAUCCACCUUGCUUAGAGAUGGGGAGCACUAUUGAGCCUGCUCUAUUGAGUCAACUCAUCAGCAACAAGCAGUCAGGGAGCAGCCAGUGUCAUUAAAUCCUACCCAUGCAUGUCAAGCAUACAAUACCUGAUGAGUCCUAAAAUUAGGCUUAAAGUUGGGCUCAGGAGACAGCUGUUGGUAGAGUGCUUGCCUUAUAAGCAAGGGGACCUGAGUCUGGUCCCCAGAACACACGUGAGAAAGAAGAGUCCGCCAGCCCAGACUACUGGUGAGUUCUCGG
rnacentral:lncRNA from 1 species